GGGGAAUUUUGCGCAAUGGACGAAAGUCUGACGCAGCAACGCCGCGUGGGUGAUGAAGGUCUUCGGACUGUAAAACCCUGUCGUCAGGGACGAAGGUGGGGGCGUUAAUAGCGCUUUCAUUUGACGGUACCUGGAGAGGAAGCCCCGGCUAACUCUGUGCCAGCAGCCGCGGUAAUACAGAGGGGGCAAGCGUUAUUCGGAAUUAUUGGGCGUAAAGGGCGCGUAGGCGGUUUUUUAAGUCAGAUGUGUAAUCCCCGAGCUUAACUUGGGAACUGCAUCUGAGACUGGAAGGCUAGAGUACUGGAGAGGGUGGUGGAAUUCCUCGUGUAGCGGUGAAAUGCGUAGAGAUGAGGAGGAACACCAGUGGCGAAGGCGGCCACCUGGACAGUAACUGACGCUGAGGCGCGAAAGUGUGGGUAGCAAAC
rnacentral:rRNA from 1 species